UACGGGGGGGGCAAGCGUUGUUCGGAAUUACUGGGCGUAAAGGGCUCGUAGGUGGCCAACUAAGUCAGUCGUGAAAUCUCUCGGCUCAACCGAGAAACGUCGGCUGAUACUGCCGUUCUUGAGGGAUGCAGAGGAGACUGGAAUUCCCGGUGUAGCGGUGAAAUGUGUAGAGAUCGGGAGGAACACCGGUGGCGAAGGCGGGUCUCUGGGCAUCUCCUGACGCUGAGGCGCGAAAGCGUGGGGAGCAAACGGG
rnacentral:rRNA from 1 species